rnacentral:rRNA from 1 species
AACGAACGCUGGCGGCAGGCUUAAUACAUGCAAGUCGAGGGGCAGCAUGAUUGUAGCAAUACAAUUGAUGGCGACCGGCAAACGGGUGCGGAACACGUACACAACCUUCCAAUAAGUGGGGAAUAGCCCAGAGAAAUUUGGAUUAAUACCCCGUAACAUAACGAUGUGGCAUCACAUUGUUAUUAUAGAUUUUUCGCUUAUUGAUGGGUGUGCGGCUGAUUAGAUAGUUGGCGGGGUAACGGCCCACCAAGUCUACGAUCAGUAGCUGAUGUGAGAGCAUGAUCAGCCACACGGGCACUGCGAAAAGGGCCCGACUCCUACGGGAGGCAGCAGUAAGGAAUAUUGGACAAUGGACGCAAGACUGAUCCAGCCAUGCCGCGUGAAGGAUUAAGGUCCUCUGGAUUGUAAACUUCUUUUAUAAGAGACGAAAAAAGGCUUUUCUAAGUCGUCUGACGGUACCUUAUGAAUAAGCACCGGCUAACUCCGUGCCAGCCGCCGCAGUAAGAC